UUGUUCGCCUGGUAGGGGAGACACCACAGUCAUGGAAGGUGGGUUUUCUAGGGUGAAGCCAAUCCUUCGCACUCCAGAUGAGCUGAUACCUGUAAUUUCCCAGGAAUCUCAGCUGUAUAAUUUUUGGUAGGAGGAGACUGUCUGCUCCUUU
rnacentral:snRNA from 12 species